GAUGAACGCUGGCGGCGUGCCUAAUACAUGCAAGUCGAGCGAACAGACGAGGAGCUUGCUCCUCUGACGUUAGCGGCGGACGGGUGAGUAACACGUGGAUAACCUACCUAUAAGACUGGGAUAACUUCGGGAAACCGGAGCUAAUACCGGAUAAUAUAUUGAACCGCAUGGUUCAAUAGUGAAAGACGGUUUUGCUGUCACUUAUAGAUGGAUCCGCGCCGCAUUAGCUAGUUGGUAAGGUAACGGCUUACCAAGGCGACGAUGCGUAGCCGACCUGAGAGGAGGAAAGGAAACACUAGAAAGGAGAGACGGGCAAGACGAAAAAGGGAGGAAGAAGGAGGGGAGAUGCCGCAAGGGGCGAAAUACAGACAGCGCAAAGAAGAGUGAUUGAGAAAGGGAUAAGAAUCUGAAAACGAUGUUAGUAGCGAAGAACAAAGGCGUAAGGAACUAGGCACAGCAGGACGGGACAUAAGCAGAAAGACACGGCGAACUACGUG
rnacentral:rRNA from 1 species